GUAAUGUUUUUAUUUCACUUUUACUUAUUUUUAUUGUGUCUUUUACUUUGUUGGACCCUUUAUUUUCGAACUGGGUUUGUUUUGAGUGUGUUUUAUUUCAUUUUUGGCCCAGCCCGUUUGGAAUUAGAAGCCCAGCCCAUUGCACCAGCGCAGCCCUCUCUUUUUCCCCUUAACGGCAUCGUAUUGGCCAUCAGCCCUUAGGGUUUUAAUUCUUUCAUUUCUUCUUCCUCCAGCCGCACACUUCCUACUUUCUUUCUUCUUCUUCUUCAUUUAUUUCCUUUUCUUCUCCCCGGCCGCACGACAGCUUCUCCUUCUCCUUCUCCAUUUCUUUCAGUUUCUUCUUUCUUUUCUUCCCCCUUGUUGCGCCGCUGCUUCCUUCUUGUUCUUCUUUGGUUUUUCUUUUCUCUUCAUUCUCUUGCGCCGGUUGCUUCUCUUCUUAUGGUCCAUGCCGUGAAGCUCCAUGCUCGGGAUCUCCUCUCUUCAGUUUCCUCUCUUGUUUUUCCUUAGUAUUUUCGUGAUUCAUUUCGUGUUUUGCUUGUUUUUGGUUCUUGCUGUGACUGCCAUCCCCAGCCCUCCAUCGAAGCUUCCCCUCUCCCCUGCUGUUGAUGUGCUCCGUCCCCUCACAAUAGUCAACAAACGAAGAAUAAAAAGCAACGGAACGUAAUUUAGGAUUACAAGCAGGGGUAAAAUUGAAAAAAAAAAUAUUAGACGAAAACAUUGUAGAAAGUGAAUUCGCACUUUAUAUAUAAGUAUAGAUAAUAUAUAUGAAGUAACAUUCUGUUGGGUUUUGCUCUUUGCUUUGUCUCAUGUUGGCUGAGAGUGAAGGAAGAUGAAGGCCUAAGGCCUAUAAAAUGAGGUUAAUCUUUUUGAUAAAGUGUACCAGUUAAAAAUCUAUCUAAUAAUUUUUUAUUUUAGUUAAAAUACUAUGUUGGCCUUUUUUGUAAAAGGGGAAGAGGUAUGAGUUAAAAUUUUGGGAUUGUAUUUGAAGUGAAGAGAAAAAUUAUGUGAUUGUAAUAAUUUUUUACAUAGUAAAUUUUCUUCUAUGAUCUGUG